CCUACGGGGGGCAGCAGUGGGGAAUAUUGGACAAUGGGGGCAACCCUGAUCCAGCCAUGCCGCGUGUGUGAAGAAGGCCCUCGGGUUGUAAAGCACUUUCAGUGAGGAAGAACGCCUGGUGGUUAAUACCCAUCAGGAAAGACAUCACUCACAGAAGAAGCACCGGCUAACUCCGUGCCAGCAGCCGCGGUAAUACGGAGGGUGCGAGCGUUAAUCAGAAUUACUGGGCGUAAAGCGCGCGUAGGUGGCUUGAUAAGCCGGUUGUGAAAGCCCCGGGCUCAACCUGGGAACGGCAUCCGGAACUGUCAAGCUAGAGUGCAGGAGAGGAAGGUAGAAUUCCCGGUGUAGCGGUGAAAUGCGUAGAGAUCGGGAGGAAUACCAGUGGCGAAGGCGGCCUUCUGGACUGACACUGACACUGAGGUGCGAAAGCGUGGGUAGCAAACAGGAUUAGAUACCCGAGUAGUC
rnacentral:rRNA from 1 species